GUAAUAUAUUAUGCUUCACAGAGUCGUGGCUGAACGAUGACACUAUCAACAUACAGCUGGCUGGUUAUACUGUACGCUGUACUGGCAGGAUAGAACAGCGGUGUCUGUCCCAGUUAGGGACUGUGCUGUGGCCAAGAGUGUAUCAUAAGCUGUCAGGGGACAGAUGUGAGGAGGAGUCAGACUGUCAGCUGGAGAGUGUGUGCUCUGGUCUCUCCCCCAUUUGCCCUGAGCCUACAGCCAAGACCAACAGAACCCCUAUCCUUCUCUCUCUGUCCAUUUCUCCAUCUAUUUCUCAGAAUUGUCACUUUGAGUCACAGUGUGUGAGUUACAGCCUGGAGCAGUGUGACUGUCCUGGGAGAGUCCAAGAAAGGGAAGUGCCACGUGCUGCCAGCAGCCAGUUCCAGGGUAAGCGUGUAGCCUUGGUUGCCGGGGAGCCGUGUUCAGCCAAGCAGGUCUACUGCGACAAGUUCCUGGUGUUCUAGGCAUCCUGGACACUGACAGGCCCAUCGCCAGGCUGAAGAACUCCUUCCUCCACCUGGUAGACCUGGAUGAGUUUGACAACCUGGCUGAGUGGAUGAAGUUACAGUCUUGUCCCAUCGCUGCAACUACCGUACGGACUCGCGAGAGGCGAAGGUCAAGAGCCAUGCAUCCGCACUGCUUCUUGACACACUGCCCGUUUAACCCGGAAGCACCAAUGUGUCAGAGGAAACACUGUGCACCUGGUGACCGAAGUCAGCAUGCAUGCACCCGGACUGCCACAGGAAUCACUAGAGCGCAAUGGGACAAGGACAUCCCGGCAGGCCAAACCCUCCCCUAACCCGGACAACCCUGGGCCAAUUGUGCGCUGCCUCAUGGUUCUCCCGAUCGUGGCCGGCUGCGACAUAGCCUGAGAUUGAACCUGGGCUGUAGUGAUGCCUCUAGCACUGCACUCGGGAGGCCCCCAGCUCAAAGUUGAUGUCUUACCUUUUCUUUGAUUCGAGGACAGUACUACACAUAACUGGUUUGGGAGCUAUGCCAGCUAUGGUAAAGGUUAUUAGGCUGUGAUAUGGCAACAGUAGUGUUUCCACACCACAGCUGAACCACUAAUGCAUGCCCAUUGGUUCCAUCCAAAUCAGUGUGUCA
rnacentral:lncRNA from 1 species